CUUAAUCAAUAAUCAUGCAAUACUUGUAAAUUAUAAUAUUCGUUCGGGUUUAUAUUAAAUCAUAUUAAACUGUAAACUAAACAUAAUAUUUAUAUAAAUAACUGUGCUCUCUUCUUCAUGGUUAAAAGACAUUCUACAGGGAAUUUGUAUAUUGAAUAACUUUAAAUAUGUCGUAGUUAUGUAAUAAUGGAAGUAACACGUAAUUAUGAACUCAAAUUAUAUUCACUUGCAUUUGAGUAACAACAUUAGGUAUAUUCUUUAAAAAAUAUGGACGUAACUCUAUAUUGGCGGUAAUCAUUUUAGAUGUGUUUGAUAUUGGCUAAGAUUUGUUAGGUAGUGAUAUUCCUCAUCAUAACUAAGAUUAAGAAACAAUAAUCAUCAUAUUUAUAAGGGUUAGGCAAGUUUAACGUCGUGAUCACCUUAUAUAAAUUAAAAUCAGCGAUUUUUUAUUAAACACUGAGCUUUAAUUUCAAUAUUAUAUGAGUUAUUUACUGUAAAAUUUAAAAGAAUAUUACAGUUUUAAUAAAGUAAUAAAAUUAUAAUUGUAAGAGAAACGGAAUAACAUAUUAUCGACUCUACUGUAAAAAAACGUUGGCGCUCAUCCGUAAAAAAAGGAAAAUUAAUAAAACCUACGAAUUCCAAAACAGUUGAAAUUAAAUAUACAUAGGACUAGGUGCAGUUCAUCGUAACUCUGCAGUAGCCUAAAUAAUACAAACUAUAAUCAAUCUCUUAAUCCAGGAGUGCUUUAAAAAAUCAAAAACUGAUCAUAAUGAUUUUGUGCGAGUUUAUUCAGUGAAGGAUAGUAUAGCCAAUAUUUAUAUCAUUUGAAUCAAAUCAAAUUGAUUACUUUAUUGAUGUAAUUAGCUCAAUUUUUGGCUCUUUAAAAAAAUGUAUGAAUUAGUAAUAAUUGUUUAUGUACAUUUUUUUCGUCGCGUAAGAUUUAGUACCUACUGCAAAACAGAGCAAUAAAAUGUUUUAAAUAAAUUAACAAGCAAUGCUUGCAAAAUGUUUAGCUUUUGUAUGUGCUUGUCUAUAUGAUUUGUUAUAAUAGUGCUAGGUAGUGUGCAUUAUAAAGUUUGGUUAGCCAACAAGGUUUAAUUAGAAAAAAAUCUAAACAAUUUCGCUAAAAUAAUGUUGGUACAGCUAUUAAAAAGUUAUUAGAGAAAACUAGUUAGAAAUCGAUACAUAAUCGACUUUUUGUAGUUUAGCAAUACUCUUUUGUUGUGUCAAAAGUUCGUAACGCAUAAAGCGUUCCGACUAAGUUAUUUAUAUAAUCAUCACAUUAUAAUAAGCAGAUUAAAAAUCAAAGCUAGGAGACUACCAAAAAUAAGGUAGGUUUAAUAUUUUUAUUAUAAACGGUAUACUAUGUAACACUGACGCAGGAGGAAUAGCUUGAAUAAGUAGCAUAGUGUAUAUGAAUAUGAUUCAUCUAGGUAUAGUUCGACUUACCUAAAAAGAGCUCCGAAGUCCGGACGCCAUGCAGCACGUACGCUCUUGGGAGCUCUUUUAAUCUACGUCGUCUUGUGGAGUGGUGGCAUGUUGCGUGAUAACAUUGUAAUUAGAAAAUUCUAGACUAGCACUUAUUACCGACAUUUAGAAGGCUAUCGGUUUGUGUACACUGUACAUGGUCAUUUAGUAAAAAUACUGAAACACGACGCAACACGUGGCAUGCUGUGACAGAGGUCAUCUCGUUGUCGGGCGGACGAAGGGCGGACGUGUACAAUAUGACUAACUGUUGACAUUUUUAUUCAAAUCAUAAAAAACUUCGAUGUCACGAAAAUAAAUAUAUUUAGAGAUCCAAAUGUUUGAGUAUGUAUUUUGCUUAGUUCUGCAAGUAAUCCAAAAAGUAAAAUGUGUUCAAAGCCGGUUUUGAAUAUAGACUGUAAAACUGAACUAUUACUAGCUUAGUUCUGUAGCUGAGCUAUAGGUUAUAGAACUGUUUUUUUUGCUUAGUAUUUUUCCGAAUCUCGUCACGUGUCAUGUAGACAGACAUCCAGCAUCGCAGUAACCGCGUUGGUAUACCAAUUAGUUUAGAACUAAGCUAAUGUCCAAAACGUUAAUUUUGUAGGUGAACUAGUAAUUUAAUUCCAUUUAAUCCCAAUAAUUUUCUACAUAUUAACGUAGCUACAGAUAAGGCGUAGCUUUACAAUUUAUUAUCAAACUAGCCAUUAGUUUUAGUAACAUAGUGAAAUUAAAUAGUUAAAAGCAUUUAGACAAUUAAUUUAACCACAAGAUCAAGUAAUGAUUCCUAUGUAAUGUACAAUUUUUUUUAGUGACAAAAGUAACAUUUUCUAGCUUUUAUUGUGGACAUAAAACACGCGUCUUGGAAUUAUUAUCAGUAAACGCUUUGUGCAGAGGCAAGUAAAUAAUAAAGAAUUGUAAUCUCUGUACAAUAUACAUAGCUGGCAAUGUAGAUGGCAUGACAUUAGCAAGAUUUAAGUUUCAAUAUUUUUUAUAUUGUGCUUUGAUGUCUGUUAACCGGGUGAAGAUAAAUAAUAAAAUCGCCAGUUAACUCAUAAUAUAAUUUUUCUACUCAGCGACUGUAAUGGUUAAAUUAAGAUUUCGUAUAUCAAAAAUAUAAUUGUGUAUUUAUCAUGUAUGGGCUCCCAACUCAACUAUAAUAAUCAUUUCCAUACGCUGUAGUCAACUAUCAAAGAAAUUGACCAAUCACGUGCCGCCGCGCUUCCAUAGAAAAAACAUAAACGCGCGACUAUUUUUGUCUACUGAGAUACUCAGCAAUUUUCAUUCAUUAUUUAGGUUUUAUAGUAAAAAAGUAUUAUUUUAGAUGACUCGUAGAAAAAGUAUUGUAUACAAUAGUUAUAUAAUCAAGCUUAUCAAUCUCGUAGUGUACUCGGCUGAAAAGCUAUCUAGUAUAUCACGAUUGUAUAAAAUACGAUUAUUAAUAUUUUUAUAUUAUUCCUUUACAACUACGAAGGUUGGGUCUGACUCCCUCUGAAAUAAUACAACCCCGUUUGUAAGCCAUAACGCCAUCUACAUUCUAGCUCGCCAAUCAAUAAUGAACUGAUAAAAUUAGAGAUUAUGGUUUUAUUGCAACGCCAUCUAUACAUAAAUGACAAAUGCCACUUAGUACAGAGAUGUCCAAUCUCAUAGUUGACUCGUCUUUGGCGCUGUAUAUACAGUAUCCCUAUCUCAUUGCCACAAGUAGUUGUAAGUUGAACAACUGUAUGUAUGUGAUGUGUUGUGUGUAAUGCGCCAUUUAGACGGUGCGAUUUUCGUUACAUUGCGGUAUUUGCUCGAUCAACUGGAUUCAUUGUACUAUGUAGUUAGCAAUGUAUCGAAUAUUGCAUGCCAAGUUCUUGAUCCGUUUAUAUGGGACUUAUCAUUGUCGUUGCAUGCAUUUAAUUACGCGAUUUUUACAGUCAUGACGGGAACGAAAUAGUUAUGUGUUUUAGGUACAAGGGGGCAAAGUUGUUGUUUAACCUCUCGUGCUAAUAUUGAUAACCGAGCAAGCGAAAGAUUCCAUAAUUGAACCACGAGCGUAGCGAGUGGUUCGAAAAAUGGAAUCUUGAGCGUUACGAGGGUU